rnacentral:misc_RNA from 1 species
AUUCCGUAGGUGAACCUGCGGAAGGAUCAUUAUUGUGUAACCGAGGUGCGAGGGCUGUCGCUGACCCGAAAGGUCGUGCACGCCCGAGUGCCCUCACACACAUCCAUCUCACCCCUAUGUGCACCACCGCGUGGGUCCCCCUUUGGCUUGUUCGGAGGGGGGCUUACGUUUUCACACAAACUUUGUAUGCAGUGUAGAAUGUAUUUUUUGUUUUUGCGAUCACGCAAUCAAUACAACUUUCAACAACGGAUCUCUUGGCUCUC